AGAAUUAUGAAGGUAGACCUCAGCUUCCCUUCAACACCCGAUGUAUCUGGUGAAGCUAAGAAUCUCAUUAGCCAGCUUCUUGUGAAGGACUCUUCUAAAAGGCUGUCUCUUCAAAAGAUGAUGGAGCACCCUUGGAUAAUUAAGAAUGUCACAUGACACUAUAAUGUGAGUCUCGUCGCCAAUUUGCAUCGUUUAGUUAAAUCCCUGUUUGUUGUUUCUAACUCUUUUUCCUAUUACAUAAUAUGAGAUCGC